AGUCAUUAUGAUAAAGUUUUGCUUUUCAUACAGGAGUAAAACUUUUUGUCUGCAAUCAAUCUGUUAAAGCCUUUGCAUAUUACAAUAGUCUUUGAAUAAUUGAAAUAAAUACUGAGGGCUUUUUGUUAUAAAUCAUUUGGUAAGAUCUUUAGUCAACACCCUUACCUUCUGUUACACAAGAAUUGAGAGUGUUAACAAUCUGGCAAGCAUUAUGAUGUCUGUGUUUAUAUUAUUGAACCUGAAAACAUGGGAAAAUGAAUUCAUGAAGCCUCAUGAAUUUCAAUGAUAACAUAACUCUUAGAUUUAGAUUUAGAUUUCAUACUUCUCUUCAAUUAUAUUUAAUAAGUAGUUCAGUUGUAAAACUUUAUGGAUUUGUAUUAGUGCCUUUUCUGCUUUUGUUAUAUAAUGUCUACAUCAACUUAUAAAAAGUGUUUAGUUUGGCCCUUUGUUCCAGAGGGAUACAGAAUCACCAUGAAUGUGGCUUGGCAACAGGUAUUGGACAUGGCAUCCUAAGUAGGAAGCUAGGAACUUGUGUCAUCCACCUGCAGCAUGAAGUAGAGAUUGGGAAGUGGAAAUGGUGUGCAGAAAUUCUCAAAGCCUUCCACCAGCAAUAUAUUUCCUCCAGCAGGGCAGCAUUCCCGAAAUCUCCUCAAAUGAUAACAGUAGCUGAAAAGGUUUCUUGAAUCCUGAAUUCUUGUUUUCUGUUAAUGAACCAAUUCAUAUAGUCAAAAACCUGUAAGUAACCCUUUAGAUGCCUCAACACCUAAGUUAAGGAAAUGAAUGCUUAAAACAGAAAACUUCUAUGAUUAAAAAACUGUUUCAAUUUCAAUUAUGUGAUGCCAAUGUGUGCUUGUGUGUGUAUGUGUAUGCUGAUUCCCAAGAAGAUUAGACCUUUGGAUCUUCUUGUAGCAGGAAUUGUAGGAAGUUGUCCAAAAUUGGACCCUGGUCCUGGGAUUGAACUUUUCUUAACUCCCUAGCCAGGUCUCUAUCUUGGUAAAUAUUUAAAAGCUUAUUUACAUAAUUUUGAUGUCAGGAAAUAGGGACAAACCUAAACAAGAGAAAAACCUUGUGUAAAUGAUUUGAUAAAGACUUCAGACAUCACAGUUGUCUUCAGCAUCGUGGAAAAAAAACCCUUUUUUAUUUCUUUUUUGUCAUUGUCUUUUUUUUUUUUUUUUUAGAAUUUUUUAAACUUUAUUUUAUGUGCAUUGGUGUGAGGGUGUCAGAUCUCCUGGAAGUGCAAUUACAGACAGUUGUGAACUGCCAUGUGUGUGCUGGGAAUUGAAGCUGGGUCCUCUGGAAGAGCAACUAGUGGUCUUAACCACUGGGCCAUCUCUCCAGCCCCCUCAUCAUAGUCUUGAAGUAAGUACAUUACCAUGUUCACUCAAGACUGUCAGCGGAACUCUUCCUGUAAGCGGCCUAAGGUGACCCGUGAAGAUGGUUCGCUACUCGCUUGACCCAGAAAACCCUACAAAAUCAUGCAAAACGAGAGGUUCAAAUCUUCAGGUUCACUUUAAGAACACCCGUGAAACUGCCCAGGCCAUCAAGGGUAUGCAUAUCUGAAAAGCCACCAAGUAUCUGAAAGAUGUCACUUUAAAGAAGCAAUGUGUGCCUUUCUGGUGGUAUAAUGGUGGAGUUGGUAGGUGCGCCCAGGCCAAACAGUGGGGCUGGACACAGGGCCGGUGGCCUAAAAAGAGUGCUGAAUUUUUGCUGCACAUGCUUAAGAAUGCAGAGAGUAAUGCUGAACUGAAGGGUCUAGAUGUUGAUUCUCUAGUCAUUGAACACAUCCAGGUGAACAAAGCACCUAAGAUGUGGCGACGGACUUACAGAGCUCAUGGCUGGAUUAACCCAUACAUGAGCUCCCCCUGCCACAUCAAGAUGAUCCUCACUGAAAAGGAACAAAUUGUUCCAAUGCCAGAAGAGGAGGUUGCGCAGAAGAAGAUAUCCCAGAAGAAACGGGAGAAAAAAAAAAAAAAAACUUAUGGCAUGGGAAUAAAUUCCACAUAAAAUAAAUGCAGAUAAAAGUAAAAAAAAAAAAAAAAAGAAAGACUGCCAGUGGAGAUCAUUACCUUGUGAUUUUUAUUUUGAAACAUUUAUGGUAUUUACUGAUGUGUGCUAUAUGUGUGGCAAAUCCAUUUAAUGAUGUUUAUUUUGUUGCCCUUAUAUUCUUUCUGUGGAAUUUUUAAACUAUUGUGCUUUUACUUAGUAAUAGGUAUUUUCUGUUGUAAUGGAUGGAAUGGGAUGCCCUUCAUCUAAGUCGUCCAUUGUUUAUAUAAAUAUCAGGCAAUGUUUGAUCAUACUUUUCAAGUAAGAGGGUGUGUGUGAAAGGGUAGUGGGUAGUUGUUCCUGCUUUUGUUUCUUUCAUAUUUUCACCAAUUCACUUGAGAUUUUCUUUGUUAUUCAGCCUGGCUUGGAUGUCAGUAAUUACUCAGUCCAAGGGUAUAUACUCCCAAUGGGUGCUAUUUUGUAAACACUAUAUAAUAGUGUUAAUGUUAAAAUGAGACUGUAAGAAACAUUAAAUACCUCAUGUGUUUUCAAAGCAGUAUUUUUUAUCUGGUAGAGAUGUAAUAAAGUAGAAUAAUCAAUCAAAUGUGUAUUGAAUACCAUAGAUUUUUGUGCUAUGCAGAUAUAUACAUUUAUGCACAUGUAUAUAUAUGUUUAUAAUGUAUAUUUCAUUCUUAUUCUUGUCCCUAUUAGUUUACCAUUUGGCAUUUCAACUUGAAGCAUUGCCUUUGCCUUCUAAGGAAUUUCUUGAGAGAUGCCAGAUAAUAUAAUAGCAAUAAAAUAUAUGUUUUUAA